GAUGAACGCUGGCGGCGUGCCUAAUACAUGCAAGUCGAGCGAACAGACGAGGAGCUUGCUCCUCUGACGGUAGCGGCGGACGGGUGAGUAACACGUGGAUAACCUACCUAUAAGACUGGGAUAACUUCGGGAAACCGGAGCUAAUACCGGAUAAUAUAUUGAACCGCAUGGUUCAAUAGUGAAAGACGGUUUUGCUGUCACUUAUAGAUGGAUCCGCGCCGCAUUAGCUAGUUGGUAAGGUAACGGCUUACCAAGGCAACGAUGCGUAGCCGACCUGAGAGGGUGAUCGGCCACACUGGAACUGAGACACGGUCCAGACUCCUACGGGAGGCAGCAGUAGGGAAUCUUCCGCAAUGGGCGAAAGCCUGACGGAGCAACGCCGCGUGAGUGAUGAAGGUCUUCGGAUCGUAAAACUCUGUUAUUAGGGAAGAACAAAUGUGUAAGUAACUAUGCACGUCUUGACGGUACCUAAUCAGAAGGCCACGGCUAACUACGUG
rnacentral:rRNA from 1 species